GAAGCUGGAACGCUAGUUCCAGUGGAGCCGUCCUUGAAAUACCACCCUGGUAAUGUUGAGGUUCUAACUCUGUCCCGUGAUCCGGGACGAGGACCGUGUCUGGUGGGUAGUUUGACUGGGGCGGUCUCCUCCUAAAGAGUAACGGAGGAGUACGAAGGUGCGCUCAGCGUGGUCGGAAAUCACGCGUAGAGUAUAAAGGCAAAAGCGCGCUUAACUGCGAGACCCACAAGUCGAGCAGGUACGAAAGUAGGUCUUAGUGAUCCGGUGGUUCUGUAUGGAAGGGCCAUCGCUCAACGGAUAAAAGGUACUCUGGGGAUAACAGGCUGAUACCGCCCAAGAGUUCAUAUCGACGGCGGUGUUUGGCACCUCGAUGUCGGCUCAUCUCAUCCUGGGGCUGAAGCAGGUCCCAAGGGUAUGGCUGUUCGCCAUUUAAAGAGGUACGCGAGCUGGGUUUAGAACGUCGUGAGACAGUUCGGUCCCUAUCUACCGUGGGCGCUGGAAAUUUGAGAGGAUCUGCUCCUAGUACGAGAGGACCAGAGUGGACGAACCUCUGGUGUACCGGUUGUGACGCCAGUCGCAUCGCCGGGUAGCUAUGUUCGGAAGGGAUAACCGCUGAAAGCAUCUAAGCGGGAAGCCUACCUCAAGAUAAGAUUUCCCUAGGACUUUAUGUCCUCUAAAGAGCCGUUCGAGACUAGGACGUUGAUAGGUUGGAUGUGGAAGCAUAGUGAUAUGUGAAGCUGACCAAUACUAAUUGCUCGUGAGGCUUGACUAUACAACACCCAAGCAGUUG
rnacentral:rRNA from 1 species